rnacentral:rRNA from 1 species
UCAGGCCUAACACAUGCAAGUCGAGCGGUAGCAGGAAGUGCUUGCACUUCGCUGACGAGCGGCGGACGGGUGCGUAACGCGUAGGAAUCUGCCUGGUAGUGGGGGAUAGCCCGGAGAAAUCCGGAUUAAUACCGCAUACGCCCUACGGGGGAAAGGAGGGGACUCUUCGGAGCCUUUCGCUAUCAGAUGAGCCUGCGUCGGAUUAGCUUGUUGGUGGGGUAAAGGCCUACCAAGGCGACGAUCCGUAGCUGGUCUGAGAGGAUGAUCAGCCACACUGGGACUGAGACACGGCCCAGACUCCUACGGGAGGCAGCAGUGGGGAAUAUUGCACAAUGGGCGAAAGCCUGAUGCAGCCAUGCCGCGUGUGUGAGGAAGGCCCUAGGGUUGUAAAGCACUUUCAGUGGGGAGGAAAGGUUGAAGGUUAAUACCCUUCAGCUGUGACGUUACCCACAGAAGAAGCACCGGCUAACUCCGUGCCAGCAGCCGCGGUAAUACGGAGGGUGCGAGCGUUAAUCGGAAUUACUGGGCGUAAAGCGUGCGUAGGCGGCCACCUAAGUUGGAUGUGAAAGCCCCGGGCUCAACCUGGGAACUGCAUCCAAAACUGGGUGGCUAGAGUACGGGAGAGGAGUGUGGAAUUUCCUGUGUAGCGGUGAAAUGCGUAGAUAUAGGAAGGAACACCAGUGGCGAAAGGCGACACUCU